rnacentral:rRNA from 1 species
ACGAACGCUGGCGGCAUGCCUAACACAUGCAAGUCGAACGAGACCUUCGGGUCUAGUGGCGCCCGGGUGCGUAACGCGUGGGAACCUGCCCUUAGGUUCGGAAUAACUCCCCGAAAGGGGUGCUAAUACCGGAUAAUGUCUUCGGACCAAAGAUUUAUCGCCUUUGGAUGGGCCCGCGUUGGAUUAGCUAGUUGGUAGGGUAAAAGCCUACCAAGGCGACGAUCCAUAGCUGGUCUGAGAGGAUGAUCAGCCACACUGGGACUGAGACACGGCCCAGACUCCUACGGGAGGCAGCAGUGGGGAAUAUUGGACAAUGGGCGAAAGCCUGAUCCAGCAAUGCCGCGUGAGUGAUGAAGGCCUUAGGGUUGUAAAGCUCUUUUACCCGGGAUGAUAAUGACAGUACCGGGAGAAUAAGCUCCGGCCAACUCCGUG